rnacentral:rRNA from 1 species
AUUGAACGCUGGCGGCAUGCCUUACACAUGCAAGUCGAGCGCCCCGCAAGGGGAGCGGCAGACGGGUGAGUAACGCGUGGGAAUCUACCCAUCUCUACGGAAUAACGCAUGGAAACGUGUGCUAAUACCGUAUACGUCCUUCGGGAGAAAGAUUUAUCGGAGAUGGAUGAGCCCGCGUUGGAUUAGCUAGUUGGUGGGGUAAAGGCCUACCAAGGCGACGAUCCAUAGCUGGUCUGAGAGGAUGAUCAGCCACACUGGGACUGAGACGCGGCCCAGACUCCUACGGGAGGCAGCAGUGGGGAAUAUUGGACAAUGGGCGCAAGCCUGAUCCAGCCAUGCCGCGUGAGUGAUGAAGGCCCUAGGGUUGUAAAGCUCUUUCACCGGUGAAGAUAAUGACGGUAACCGGAGAAGAAGCCCCGGCUAACUUCGUGCCAGCAGCCGCCGUAA